GGAGCGCGGAGGAGGCGGUGCAGUUGCGCUCCGCGCUGGCUGGGUUCAGGCUUCACUGUUCCAUGUGUGACCUUGUCACCGGUGCUAGCGGGGCCACGUGGCUCAGGGGACUCGCAGUGCCCUGCCCCCUCCGUUGUGACUCUGGUUUGGUCCCGGAGCCGGCAUUAGUGUGGACUGCCCUUGAGUGUCCCAACCUUCCGUGCACCCGAGUAGGCGGAGCUGGAGGGGGACCGCUGCUGGCUCUGCCAGAAGUCUUCACAUCCUGGUGGCCUUGUGGGCUCCCUGGAGGAGGAUCUGGGGACAUGGCGGGAAAAGCUCUCAAGCUUGCCUCCUGGACUAGUGUGGCUCUUGCUUCCUCUGGUAUCUACCUCUACAGUAACGGCUACUUGGACCCUAAUGACUUUGGCCCUGUCAGGGUGGGCAGAGCAGUUGCUACGACAGCUGUCAUCAGUUAUGACUACCUCACCUCCCUGAGAAGAGUCCCAUAUGGCUCAAAGGAGUAUUUGCAGCUUCGAUCCCAGGUGCAUCUCCGCUCUGCCAGACGUCUCUGUGAGCUCUGCUGUGCCAACCGGGGCACCUUCAUCAAAGUGGGCCAGCACCUGGGGGCUCUGGAUUACCUGCUACCAGAGGAGUACACCAGCACGCUGAAGGUGCUGCACAGUCAGGCCCCACAGAGCAGCAUGCGAGAGGUCCGCCAGGUCAUCCGUGAAGACCUGGGCAAGGAGAUCCAUGAUUUGUUCCUGAGUUUUGAUGACACCCCUCUGGGGGCAGCAUCCCUGGCCCAGGUCCAUAAGGCUGUGCUUCGGGAUGGUCGAACUGUGGCUGUGAAGGUCCAGCACCCGAAGGUACAGGCUCAAAGCUUGAAGGACAUUCUCCUGAUGGAGGUGCUCGUCCUGGCUGUGAAACAGCUUUUUCCAGAGUUCGAGUUCAUGUGGCUGGUGGAUGAAGCCAAGAAGAACCUGCCUCUUGAGCUGGAUUUCCUCAACGAAGGGAAGAACGCAGAGAAAGUGGCCCACAUGCUCAAGCACUUUGACUUCCUAAAGGUUCCCCGGAUCUACUGGGAGCUGUCCACUAAGAGGGUGCUCCUCAUGGAGUUUGUGGAGGGUGGGCAGGUCAACGACAGGGCCUACAUGGAGAGGAACAGGAUCAAUGUCAACGAGAUCUCCUGCCACUUGGGCAAGAUGUACAGUGAGAUGAUCUUUGUCAAUGGCUUUGUGCACUGCGACCCCCACCCAGGCAACGUGCUGGUGCGGAAGCAUCCAGACACAGGCAAGGCUGAGAUAGUCCUAUUGGACCAUGGACUCUACCAGGUGCUCACGGAGGAGUUCCGCCUGGACUACUGCCGCCUGUGGCAGUCUCUGAUCUGGACGGACAUGGAGAGGGUGAAGCAGUACAGCCAGCGCCUGGGGGCUGCGGAACUCUACCCACUGUUUGCCUGUAUGCUGACAGCCCGGUCAUGGGAUUCAGUCAAGAGGGGCAUUGGCCAAGCUCCAGUCACUGCCUCUGAGGACUCAGAGAUCCGCAGCAAUGCGGCCAGCUACCUGCCUGAGAUCAGUCAGCUCCUCAACCACGUGCCUCGCCAGAUGCUGCUCAUCCUGAAGACGAAUGACCUCCUGCGCAGCAUCGAGGCCACCCUGGGUACUCGUGCCAGUGCCAGCUCCUUCCUCAACAUGUCCCGGUGCUGCAUCAGGGCACUGGCUGAGCAUAGGAAGAGGAGUACCUGCUCAUUUUUCAGAAGGACCCAGAUAUCUUUCGGCGAGGCCAUUAGCCUAUGGCAGAUCAACCUUUAUGAAUUCCUGCUGCGGGUGAAGGGCUUGAGGCUGGCCUGCUGGGUCUCCACCCUGCUGUGUUGGCUGACUCGGGUUUCAUACUGAGUGUGGCUUUCAUUCCUUCCCCUUUCCUGGUAUCUUUUUAUACCCCAUUCUUUCCUGACUCAACCCCCUUACCCGUGUCUGUGCCAAGGUGACAUGUGGCCCCACGGUGGUCAUCUGUGGUACCAUCAUGCUCUGCCUUUGGAAUACCCCCUACUGAAGCCCUGCCUCAGGGCCCUUGGACUGUGCCGGGGAGUGGGUUUCUCUCCUCCAGGGAGGGAACGUAGCAGCUCCUUCUCCACUCCUGUAUGUGCUGUUGGCUUGGCCAUUGCCAUGUCUGUGAACCAUUCUAUUGUCAGGAUGUACCACAUGUGCCAAGGGGCACAUUUAACUUGUAGGAAAUAAGUGGGGUCUUGGAACUGCUAGAGAGCAGGCACCAUGUCCUUACCACAUCACUCUUGGAGGUAUCCCUUCUCAGUGAGGCAGGCUGCAUCUGAGGGCAGGCCAUAUGGCUGUGGGUUCACGAGGUCAUGGUGACCCCUUCAGUGUUGUGUAUUGCGUUUCAAUAAGCACCUUCAAGGUUGAAGGGACUGUCUCUUCUCACUCACUGGCCCCAUUCAGACUCCAGGGAUUUUUAGUUACCCUUCAUAGCUGCUUCCCUGGGAAACUCCCAGGUUUCCUAGGAAGGUCUAGGAGAGCAAAGUUGGGCUUGGUUGAGGGAUUUCUUUACUAAGUUGGGAGCAAAUCCACAUGGCCAGUGGUAGACCUGAACACUGUGUGUGCUGGGACCUUGCUUGAUGUCUUUCCCCUGUGAUCCAUGCAGGCUGUAAGACUCCUACUACAGGGCCAUGUCUUGCUCCUUGGAGACUUCUCCUGCCUUCCAAGUCCCAGAUUUGAUUGGCGGUGUCAAGAAGCACAAAGCUGGCAACAAGAGGCUGAGGCAGUACACCAGGCUCUGUUUCCCUGGGCUCCCACUUGUUUCCCAUGACAGGAGCACUUGCCUUGUUCUACAAGUUGGGUCCUGAUUUGCCCUCUGGUUCUCAGUCAGUGAAUGAUAUUCAGGUCUGGGAUCACACCUGGUCCUCCCCAGCCUUUGGAGACAAGUCAGUCUUCUUGCUGAAAUCAGUCACCACGGCUCUGCCCAUUUUGACACCUCCACAUCAUCUGUUUCUACUCUAUCGUACCCUGUGUCAGCACUCACCUCCCCCAAUUCCAUCCUCUGCUCCUAUGUCGUAUGGUCUCUGUGUCUGUGAGGCCCCAGACUUGGCAGGUCCUAGCUCCAUGGUCACCUGUGCUCACAAUAGUAGCCACAUUCGAGUCUCUGAUCUUACCCCACACCAUUCAUAGCAGCAGACCCUCCAGAGCUGAGCCUCAUUCUCUGUUCUCUUUGUUCAUGAUUCAACAAGCAGAUUUUCUACUGAUCAGAGACCAUUUGCGUUCCUUUAUUUCCUGAAAGAAUUAAUUGUUCUUAGUGACCAGUUGGAUGUACUCAGGGACCUGGGAGAAUAAUUUACAAGCACUGUUAUUAAUCAUGAGGAUACAUGCUGCAUAUUCUAUUUUGUAUCUUUUACAGCCACUGAAGUAGAUAUAAACAUCCUUUCUGCUCAAGGUAAUAGUUACUUGCUUUUUACCUUUGGUGUAAUAGUUAGAUUCCUCUGACUGGGAUUUAAAACAUGACCAUGUUCCCUGUAGUCCUGUACCCAGAACAGUUUCCAGGGAAAGGAAAGGGGCGAGCAGAGUCUGGGGGUGCAGAGCAGUUUGAAAAUUGAGGAGUAGGUUGAUGUUUAUUAGUGACUUCUGUGGGCGAGAGGCCAAACGAGGCUCUGUAAAUAUGUUAUACUGUUGAAUUGUCCCAUCAGCUCUGAGGAAAGGGGUCAUUAGCUUCAUAUCACAUAGCUCAGAGAGGUUUAGUACUUGGCCUGUGGUCACACAGCUGCUGAGUGAUAGCCAUGCUUGGCUUUGAUUCUACAGUGCCAUAGAUGAGGAUUAUACUUGCCACUUGUGUGACUGAGCUGUGUGCCUCUAAGAUCUGUACCCAGUGCAUGGCUCUUCUGGCCUUCUGUUGGCGCUCCAUAAGUAUGCAGGUACUGGGAGUCUUGGAGUACUUUGUGGUUUUCAGGAAUAUUGAAAUCUGUUUGAAAAGCUGCACAUGCGCUCAUCCCCUCAUAGGAGGUACCCCUUGGAUGGCCAGGUUAAUUUCAUGAAUGUUUCUUGUCCACAGCAGGAUCAUAGAUGGUCUGCCUCGGCAUUGCAUCCCCUAGGGGCCUUCCUACUACUGUGCAGAACUCUGAUCCCAGAAAACCAGAGCUGCUCUAAGAAGCCUCCAAGCUAAUCCUGAGCAGUCAGGCUUGUGGGAGGUUUGCUGCAGUCCUCGUGUGGGCCAAGGGAAGAAGAACAAGACUGAUGGAAUUAGGAGGAAACCACAACCAUUCUGAAGGCUCGAAUGCACUGAGUGAGUUCCAACUUGGAGUGGUUCUCAUCCAUACAUCUGAUGGCAGAUGUGCCUGUGGCAGCCACUGAUCCUUUCCCUCCUUCUGCUCUGGCUUUGGGUCUCUGGAAGUGGCCAGCAUCACCACCCUGACUCAAGCAACUGGAGGUCAGGCCAGUCCUCCUAGGUCUGUCACCAGGUCUCUGAGCUGUAGCUUCUCUGCUGUGGAAUGGCAGUGGCUAGCUGUCUGAAGGUGGCCUUUCUCCACAGGCUUUGGUGAAUGUGAACGGACAGAGCUGCUUAAAGUGACAGGGAAAAGCAACACUAGAAACACAGUAGAACGCAGGAUAGCAGUAGCAGCUUUGAUCUCCAUCUUCUACAAGCCAUGGGGUAGAUGCCCAGCCACCCUCUGACUACAGAGAUGGCUUCUGGCAUGGGCAUGUGCUGCCAAGCAGACCUUCCAUCUGGAGCUGUGGAGAGUGACUAUCUCCUCUGGGGCACACCCCAGAGGGUAGCCAUGGACUCUGCCUUUCCGCAGGCCAGAUCCACCCUUCAGUUUUCAAACGAAGUCCCUGCUUGUCAUAGUAUUACCCUGAGGGGCCGUGGAUCCAUGUUGGAAGAUGGGGGCAGCCUAGAGAAGCCUAGAGAAGAAUCCCUGUGUGGGGAUAGAAAAUGAAGAUUCUGCAAGCUAGGGAUUCCAGAGAGCCUGCAAGAGCAGACAGGAGUUUGAUCUUCUGGGGUAUGAGGAUUCAUCCUGAGUCAUUUGCACUGGAGCCCAAAGGAGUUCUGAGUAAAAGCCCAUCUCCUUCCAUGGUGCCCAACUGCAGCUGUGGGGCUGGAGAAGAUCACUGAUGACAGCAACAGACCUGUGAGUGCUGACCAGCUGGCCACUUAGGGGACACCUACCCUCCCCUCUCUGAUUUCUUACCUGUCAACUAAGGAGCCUGGGUUAUAUCAGUGGCUCCCAGAGAAGCUUCCCCAGAGGCUUCAUGGAACGGUGUGGGCACAUUUUUGGUUACCAUAAUGAUUGGGAGAGUGCUAUUGGCGUUGACUGCUGGGGUCAUGGAUGCCAGAUGGCUCUCUAGGACAAUACAGUCUCAUUCAAUAAAGAAUUCUCCUGUGACCUGUGUAAUUUUCCGACGCACCCUGGAAUAAGCACACAGCAAAAGUCCUAUUUAUACUAAACAGAAUCAACAAUUUACCCAUGUUUUGCACCUUCAGGCAAAACAUUCUCUGUGUGGUUUUAACGCCUGUUGAAUUUUCCAGGAAUUCAAGGACCAUGAGGGCUGGCUUGUUUCUUUGGAAUCAUUGCUCACCAUUUUAGGAGGGCCACAUGGAACCUGCAUUUGAAUGGCCAGUGCAAUCCACCUGUACCAGUGUGCCUUGCUUCAGGGUGGUAAGGGGCAUUACUAAACAUUUGUUCAUCAAAGGGUAUGCUGGGUUUCAUUAGACCAAAACCCACUAGUCUAAAGAGCCCCAAAGAUCCUUUUGAACUCUGACCCCUUCUCAGUGAGAGUCAAAAGGAGAUGCAGAUGGCAUGAAGAAUGGAAAACAAGCAGCCACAGAACUAGUUUAAGGCAAACUAGUUCAAAAUGCUCCCUAGUCCAGCGGUGUCCAUUGCUGACACUGAGCACCAGUGUACAACCCAGGUAUGGGAAUGAAGACCUUCGCUCUGGACUCUGAGUCCAAAUGGAAUUCAGGAUCAAAGCUCACUAGUUCUUAUAACUGUGAUUUUUUUAUUGUUAAGUGUUUUACUAUGAUUUUUAAAUUGUUGUUAAUUGUUAUAACCUGACUGAAUGUGCCCCUGCCCCCAAUUACAAAUGUUGAAAUCCCAAUCUUCAGUGUAAUGGUAUUUGGAUGUGGGGUCCUUAUGGGAAGAAAAAUGGUAAUUAGGUCAUGAGGUAGAGCCCCAUCCAUAGGAUUAGUGUCCUUAUAAGGAGAAAGAGAUAAGGUCUAUCAGCCUUGUAAGGAUACAGGAGAAGGUAACUGUAAGUCAGGAGACUGGUCUCCACCAGAUAUUGAUCUACUGGCACCUUGAUCUUGGAACUCCGAGGCCUCAGAACUAUGAGAAAUACAUAUUUGUUGUUUCUUCUACCCACUCUAUGGUAUUUUUGUUAGAACAGCAUUACCUUAAACAGCAAGGCACUUAACUCAAAUAUGUGUCCCCUGUAUGUGGAAGCAUUGCACAUGGCUCCUUUUAUUCCUGGUCUUCCCUCUUGCCUUGUUUGCAUGAUGCAAUUUGAAUGGAAUUAAACUUG